AAGAAUAUCAAUUUUAGCAUUGCUUAGUGAAGAAUCAAGCUAGGAUUUCUAACUAGUUUGGUUUCAUUUUUAUUCCGAGCUUCAUUAGUGGUCGGAGUUGGAGCUUUCUAAUCCCUAUACGGCUGACAAAAGUCCUCGUUUGGUUUGCUUCUCAAAGUAAGGUCAGUGAUCUUCGAUCCUUCUUUUCCUUUGACUACUUAAUUGAAAUAUUGCAUACUCUCUUAUCUUCUGUUAAUUAGACUUGCUCAUGAUGUGUUAUUAUUGGUUAUAGUUGGUUAUUUCUGUUCAUAAUGUAAUAUUAUCAGUUCAUAAUUGACAUUAUGUUCGGGUAGUAUUUCCUUAGUAACCAGAAAUUAAAGUAAUACUAGUCAACUACUUUAUAAUCUCAAUGAAUAUAUAAUGUGUGAUUGGCAAUGAACCUUACUAGUUAUGUGCAUCUAUUUUGACCUUAAACAUCACUGAUGACUUUUGUUAUGGCUCUCAUUCUUACUCUGCUAGUCUUUAGUUAGUGUUACUUGUUGACUUACAGACUUACCCUAUGUACUUAAGGUUAUUCACCUGAUAAACUAAAGUAGAAAAUGGGAUAUGAACCUUUAAUGAUGACAAACAAGGUUGUCAUCUUAGUCUGGGUAUAUCAGCGAGUCAAUUCCUUUCUUCUAAUGUGCCUCUGUGGUUCUUUAACUCUUGAAAGAUCGUUGUAAUGAUUUUCUGUCAAUAUUCAUGAAUGUGUGAUCAUAUCUAAAAUUCUAUUGUUGUUCUCUUCCCUUAAUUGUACAUAUAAUUGGUUUCUUUUAGUAAUCUUCUGCAUAUUGGUACUUCUUGACAGUGAACUACACACGUGGGCUUAGAUUGUGAUCUCCCUGGUGUUACAUGUUAUCAUAUGUUCAUAGUAACAUUCUGUAUAGUUUCUAUUAGAAGUGUACAUGUCUAAAUCUGUGUAUUGUUGUUACACUUGUAUUGAAACAUACAAUGAAUGCCUCAUUGGCAUUUAAACUUAUAGGGAAGAGUCAUUCUGAAUGGUUAGUGGUAUUUAGGAGUGACAUUUAGUUUGUGGUUGAGACACUCUUCCUGACACAAGCACUCUUCGGGUUGGACUUUGAAAUGACAGGAAACCAAAGGAUGUCUUGGCCAUGAAUAGAAUUUUACAUAAAGCCCUUAGUCAUUGACACUUUUAAUCUCUUUAGGGUUAGUGUCUAAUGAAGAAAAGGGCUUCAUUAUAAUUUUAUUUACUCUAUUUGAUCUUACACAGUUUAUUUGCGCUCUUAAUCGCAAGCAUUUGUUAUCGUGUCAUUUGGGCCUUAUGUUGAUCUUAUCUGCAUUUAAUAUGUUGGGCUUUGUCACUAAUUUCUGCUUUUCUCUUUUGAGCAUGUAAUACAACUAGGCCUGCCCUUGAGUUCGAAGUCAUGGUAGCUGCUGCCGUUUGUUUGUUGUUAGCUGGGCCUAACCUUCAUCAGGCCCAAACCAACGACCCUUAUUCCCUUCUUUAUCCUUUUUUAUCAUGUUGUUAUUAGGGAUUUUUUCUUAUCUAUACAAUAUAUGAAACCUUAUUACCAAAAAUGUACAUAAUUCUUAAAU
rnacentral:lncRNA from 1 species